rnacentral:lncRNA from 1 species
CAAUCGCUGAAUGGAUGAUCGAGCUAGGUAGCAAACCUAAUGGAAAAUCGCCUGGAAGGCCUGGUUGCCAAAUGGCAACUUCGCGACUUUCCACAGCUAAUGGGCGCCCUUGGGCGCAGCAGUUAUAAAUAUCACGAACGUUUUUACGGGUAAACUUUGGGAGUAAGCUGGGUUUUUCACAAGUUUCUGAUUAAUUAAUUACACCUAAUAUUUAUUUUGCCAGCCAAAGCAGAGUGUAAUACAUCCACAACAUCAAGCAAACAUACAAGUUUUGCAGAACACAGUUUUAAAAUACCUUCACUGUGAUGCAGAUAUAAAUUUUCAGUCGCUCUGUAAAAAUUGUGAAAAGAUUAGGAUACUUUUUAAACCCUGAACAAGAUUUAACAAUAAAAGUUGUCCCCAUGGGUAUUGCCAUCCUUUUCUCCCGAACACUUCGCUUCGAUCGCGCUCAUUGCAGUUGGUACCGGCGAAUAUUGCGUGUCAUUUUCACUCCUCAAAGUUGGUUGUGUCGCACACGAUCGCAGUUGCAAAUUUCAGAUCACUUCACCGUUCGAUUACUGUCAAACAACCAAAUUAAAAUUGUUUAAAAUUGUCCCUAACGGUUUUUCAACAAAGAAUCCAACAUGACUUCCACCAACGUCUUCCAAGGCAUGCACGGCAACAAGAACUCCAGUAAAGUAAUCAAACCUCCCGGUGGUGGACAUACGGACAUCUUUGGGGCCCCUGAUCCUCCAGUGAAGCGCGACUCUGGCCGAAAUGCCUCCUCCAUCACCGAAGGAACUAACGCAGGGGUUCAGAGCCCUACAGCCCCUAAAGCGCCGGUGCCCCAGCCGCAGCCUCAGACGCAGCCUCAGCCCAAAUCCGAAGCACCUGCAGCUGCUGGCCGGGUGCCACCCGGCGGCUUCUCUUCGGGCCCCUUUUGGUGAUGAGUCCAGCUUUUCCCCUCACUAAUUUUACCCCUUUUUCUGAUUUAUCGCUUAGGAUGUGAUAGGACGAAUUUAUGUAAAUUGCAUUUGCAGUUCUAAGACACCUGAGUGAGCUUUUGAUAUUUAAUAAACAAUACUGUUUUUAUAGUGA